rnacentral:rRNA from 1 species
CGGACCGGCGCACGGGUGAGUAACACGUAUGCAACCUGGCCGUCACAGGGUGGAUAACCGGAAGAAAUUCCGACUAAUACAGCAUAACACUCCUGAGGGACAUCCUUCGGGAGUCAAAGGAAGGCAACUCCGGUGACGGAUGGGCAUGCGGCGCAUUAGGUAGUUGGUAGGGUAACGGCCUACCAAGCCGACGAUGCGUAGGGGUUCUGAGAGGAAGGUCCCCCACAUUGGAACUGAGACACGGUCCAAACUCCUACGGGAGGCAGCAG